rnacentral:rRNA from 1 species
GGGGGAUAACCAUUGGAAACGAUGGCUAAUACCGCAUGAUGCCUACGGGCCAAAGAGGGGGACCUUCGGGCCUCUCGCGUCAGGAUAUGCCUAGGUGGGAUUAGCUAGUUGGUGAGGUAAGGGCUCACCAAGGCGACGAUCCCUAGCUGGUCUGAGAGGAUGAUCAGCCACACUGGAACUGAGACACGGUCCAGACUCCUACGGGAGGCAGCAGUGGGGAAUAUUGCACAAUGGGCGCAAGCCUGAUGCAGCCAUGCCGCGUGUGUGAAGAAGGCCUUCGGGUUGUAAAGCACUUUCAGUCGUGAGGAAGGUAGUGUAGUUAAUAGCUGCAUUAUUUGACGUUAGCGACAGAAGAAGCACCGGCUAACUCCGUGCCAGCAGCCGCGG